CCAGAUGCGUAAAAUAAUGCUGAAUCGUCGAACUUUGUCUAAAAUAUUGAUGGACGUUUAAAAUCACUGAUGGUAGUAGUUCCUUGGAAGUAUCAGAAGAGCAAGUUUAGAUCUUUCAUUAAAUUCUGAUGCACGACGUCACAACGUUCGCCUUCGUAUUUCGUUCCAAAGCAGUCACAUGUCAGGCUGUUAUAAUGAUUGACGCAUUGAUCGGACAUGAAGCAAAGAUUUUCCCUUGUCCAGCACCUGAAGUACGAUUGGAUAUAAUGAUUUAUUUUUGAGAAAUCGAUUGGAUCGAUGGAAUUGAAGAACUCUCUAUAAAGUGUAUCAUCGAUUAAGAUGAUUUUUAUAACAAUCUUCUUAGAAUUUAUACCUGUUAAUUGUUUAACCGAUGUUUCUUAUUAUAUUACUUUUUUCUUUUCUUUUUUCAAAGGAUAAAUUUGAGUUAUAGAGAGUCCCUCUAAAGAUCAGAGAUGCGAUGGGAUGUAUUGUGCUUGCUGUAGAAAUGAAUUAUAAAUGCGUAUCACGAAUUCAAAGGGUCGAAUAACAGGAAAGUGACGUACUUGUCUAUGCAACCCUCCUUCACAUUUUCAUGCUUCGUUGCGAUCAAUGGUAGAAUAGGCAACAAGUCGCUUGCCGACUUGCCGGAACUAAGGACCAUGUCUCUGAUGCAGCCGACAAAAGAUUCUAUGAUGUAUUUAACACCAUGUAGACGUUCCUCUGAGCUCAAUCCUAACCAAACUUUUAAGAUUCAGAACACACGAACGCGCCCACGCAUCUUUCCAUAAAGCGCUUAAAAUCUUCAUCCUUCCGGUAUACCUCGCAUUGUUAAAACCCAACUCGAUAUGCUAUUGUAGAUGCAUUUUUACGAUUGCGGCAGUCGCUUUUGAAUUUACGACUUCCGUUUUGUUUAUCAGGUAUGUAAUAUACAAGCAUCACGUUCCUCAUAAAUUACAUAACUCUCGUUAUAAAUAAAUGUAUAUAUAUAUAUAUAUUGUUAUUUUUAAUUUAGAAUUACAAAAUCAUAAAUUUUUAUUAAAAAAAAAAAAAAAUACAUAGAAAGUACCGUCAUUGCUUUGCUUGAAAUAAAAAUUUUUUUUUAUAGCAACUCUCAAUGGCGAAAAUAUGAUUUUGCCGAAUUUAUGAUAUUGAUCAAAUCAAAUUUUUUUAUAUUAUGAAUUUCAAUAUUAUAAAAACUAAAUAAUAAAUAAUAAAUGUACCAAAAGACUGUAGAAGACUUUAAAAAUCAAUUACUCUUUUUCAACAUUUUUUAAGCAAAAUUUCUUUUUUCGACGUCUAAGAAUUUUUUUUCUGAUCCAAAAAAAAAAAAAAAUACAAUCUUUAAUAAUUCCGUAACACAAAUAAUAUUCAUAACGGAUAAUUGAA